AUGGUGUUAAGAGUGUAGCAGUUUUCCUUGUGGUUUGUGGGGAUUGUGCGCCUUGCCCCCCGUUUCCAAGGCGUUUGUUUCUUAUUUUCAUGAAUGGCAGUGAUCCUGCCUUUUUCGUCAAAAAAAGUAACUACAUCUUUUCCGCGCCAAAAAAGAAAAGAAAAGGAGUAACCACAUCCUUUGGCACCGGUUUCACUCCUGGUUUUGCGUAUCCAUAUCAAACUAAACGAUUUGCUCACGGACAAUAGGUAAGCUUCCAGUAAAGAGCUCUUGACUCCCGGUACACUGUUUCGGAUCAUUUUAGGCUGGUGCAUAAAAAUCACCGUUUGAACGUUUUCGUGUAACAUCAAAGAUCGUCAGAAGAAAAAGAAAGAAAAAAACACAUUAUAUGCCUCUAGCCAGUUCUGCAUGUGUGUGUUUGUGACACCUGAUCGAGUUGUCGCACGUGCAUGCAUGUGAUCCUUCGGUCUGCAUGUGAUCCUUCGGUCUUGGGUUUCUUUGGGUUUUGGACCGAUUUUCACGAUCUAACAAAACAAAAUGGAAGAAAACUGAAAAGGUCCAACAAGCGAGCGCAGACUGAAAAACCUAACAGGCGGAGCGCAGACCAGACAUCAAGAUGCGUGCGCAACUGCAGACAGACUGGAGUUAGACGGCCAGAAAAAAUGAGUGUUCGCGAAUUGAAAAGCAGCUAGCCGUAGAAUAGCAAAACUGUAAAAAAAAAUCUAUUGAAGUUUGACGACACGCCUUCACCAUCGUUUCGACCGGGUUUCACUGUCAAAGAGAUAAUUAUUAUUUUUUUGAGGGGGUGAGGGGUGUCAAAGAGAUAAAUAACGGAACGAAGAUUUACCCAAACGAUGAUAUACGUAUUAGGCCC
rnacentral:lncRNA from 1 species